UUGAAAUACAGUUGUUUAGUUUUAUAGUAGGAAAAAAGAAUAGAGUUUUAAGAAAACAUAAAUAAAAGUAGUUUUUUUAAUAUAGUUUUUCCGUUUAGUUUUUUUAGUAUAGUUUUCCGGUUUUAGUUUUGAAAUACAGGUGUUUAGUUUUAUAGUAGGGAAAAAAGAAUAGAGUUUCAAGAAAACAUAGAUAAAAGAAGUUUUUUUAAAUAUAGUUUUCAGUUUAGUUUUUAGUAUAGUUUUUGGAAAAUAUAAGAAUAAAGGAGUUUUUUUUUCGAGUUUAGUUUUUAGUUUCGUGUUCAAAUCGUAUAAAGGUUCGGCUGUAGAAUAGAAAAAAUUAUCCCGCUGUUAAUUUAGUUUACGAACGACAUAAAUUUUUCUGAAGUUUAAAAUGUUGCUUUUGUUAUUUUAUUUUUACGACUUGCAUGUUUUUCAGAUUUCCCUUGAAAAAAGGUAAGUUUUUAUUUGAAGAUGUUGUAUAGGAUUUUUUAUGAACUGAUUUUCUAAAAAUUUUUUUGAAGUUUAAAAUGUUUCUUUUGUUAUUUUAUUUUUACGAGUCGCAUGUUUUUCAGAUUUCCGUGCCGAGGGUUAAUUUUUUUUCGAUAGACUUUUUCUAAAUGUUCCUGCUGUUUAUUAUCUAAUUUUACGAGCGACUUGCGAAGGGUAUUUUCAGAUUUUUGUACGUGGAAAAGAGUCAUAAAAGCACAAAAAUGGACCUAUUAGAAAAGAUAAGUAUUCAUGGAGGUGGGAAAAUGGGCCUGACUAAAAUUAUUUCGACUAUCAUCCCUGAAAAUUUUCACGACAAGUGUCAGUUGUGUUUUCCGGGUGUACUCAUUCACAUCUUCACUAAUAAAACAAAAAAUGAAACGUGUACUUGAAACUAACGAAGUUGACUUUAGUUGUAAAAAAAAGAAAGUAGAAGA